UGUGCUUGUUUUGGAUGUCAUACUAAAAUUACAAUGAUACAGAGAUUAUUAGCGUGGUCCCUACACAAGGAUGACAUGCAAAUUUGUGAAGUGCUCCAUAUUUUG
ensembl:snRNA U6 U6 spliceosomal RNA